rnacentral:snoRNA from 1 species
UAGACUUUGCUUCACAGGAUCAUUUCUGUAGGCAAGCUUUAAAAAAUUUGUUUAAAUGUAUUUAUUAGAAAAAAU